AUACUUACCUGGCAAGGGUCAUUUGUGAUCAAGAAGGCGAAUGACACGGUUGGGAGAUUUAAUAUUGCACAUCAUUAAGUGUCCCGAUUGCGAACAUCCUAAAUGGAUGUAUCGGUUGCAUAAUUUUUGAUGGUGGGGUAUACAGGCGUUCGCGCCAGUAAACCCUU
rnacentral:snRNA from 1 species